UACAGAGGGUGCGAGCGUUAAUCGGAAUUAUUGGGCGUAAAGAGCUCGUAGGCGGUCUGUUGCGUCGGCUGUGAAAACCCGAGGCUCAACCUCGGGCCUGCAGCCGAUACGGGCAGACUAGAGUUCGGCAGGGGAGACUGGAAUUCCUGGUGUAGCGGUGAAAUGCGCAGAUAUCAGGAGGAACACCAAUGGCGAAGGCAGCACUCUGGGACGUGACUGACGCUGAGACGCGAAAGCGUGGGGAGCAAACAGG
rnacentral:rRNA from 1 species